GGCAAGGUGGCCGAGCGGUCCAAGGCGCUAGGUUUAGGUCCUAGUCUUCGUAUGAAGGCGGGGGUUCGAAUCCCCCCCUUGUCA
rfam:Nematocida parisii ERTm3 unplaced genomic scaffold supercont1.5, whole genome shotgun sequence.